rnacentral:rRNA from 1 species
AGCGAACGCUGGCGGCAGGCUUAACACAUGCAAGUCGAGCGGGCACUUUCGGGUGUCAGCGGCGGACGGGUGAGUAACGCGUGGGAACGUGCCCUCUGGUUCGGAAUAACUCAGGGAAACUUGAUCUAAUACCGGAUACGCCCUUUUGGUGAAAGGCUUGCUGCCGGAGGAUCGGCUCGCGUCUGAUUAGCUAGUUGGUGAGGUAACGGCUCACCAAGGCGACGAUCAGUAGCUGGUCUGAGAGGAUGAUCAGCCACACUGGGACUGAGACACGGCCCAGACUCCUACGGGAGGCAGCAGUGGGGAAUAUUGGACAAUGGGCGCAAGCCUGAUCCAGCCAUGCCGGGUGAGUGAUGAAGGCCUUAGGGUUGUAAAGCUCUUUUAUCCGGGACGAUAAUGACGGUACCGGAGGAAUAAGCCCCGGCUAACUUCGUG